rnacentral:rRNA from 1 species
AUUGAACGCUGGCGGCAUGCCUUACACAUGCAAGUCGAACGGCAGCACGGGUGCUUGCACCUGGUGGCGAGUGGCGAACGGGUGAGUAAUAUAUCGGAACGUACCUUAUCGUGGGGGAUAACGCAGCGAAAGCUGCGCUAAUACCGCAUACGCCCUGAGGGGGAAAGCGGGGGACCGUAAGGCCUCGCGCGAUUAGAGCGGCCGAUAUCUGAUUAGCUUGUUGGUGGGUAAAAGCCCACCAAGGCGACGAUCAGUAGCUGGUCUGAGAGGACGAUCAGCCACACUGGGACUGAGACACGGCCCAGACUCCUACGGGAGGCAGCAGUGGGGAAUUUUGGACAAUGGGGGGCAACCCUGAUCCAGCAAUGCCGCGUGAGUGAAGAAGGCCUGGUGUAAGNUCUUUGUCAGGAGAAACAGACAGCUCUAACACAGUCUGCGAAUGACGGUACCUGAAGAAUAAGCACCGGCUAACUACGUAGCC